rnacentral:lncRNA from 1 species
UGGGGGACUAGGUUGAAAAAUUUUGUCCUGCAUUUUUUUUUAGUUGUAAUCUCUGUCCUGCCUUUUUAUUUUUCACUCUAUUCGGUCCUGCCUUUUUUUUUUUUAUUAGUUUAUCCUGACUUUUUUUUACCUAAAUUGUCAUCCUGCCUUUUUUUUUGCAAAGUGUCUCAUCCUGCCUUUUUUUUUUUACUCAAAACUCCUGUCCUGCCUAUUUUUUUCAAAUUUCAUCCUAGCCCCUUCCCCCC